AGCGCAGGCGGUUUGGUCAGUCGGAUGUGAAAGCCCCGGGCUUAACCUGGGAAUUGCAUUCGAUACUGCCAGACUAGAGUAUGGGAGAGGGAAGUGGAAUUUCUAGUGUAGCGGUGAAAUGCGUAGAUAUUAGAAGGAACACCAGUGGCGAAGGCGGCUUCCUGGCCCAAUACUGACGCUCAGGCUCGAAAGCGUGGGGAGCGAACA
rnacentral:rRNA from 1 species